GUGCCAGAAGAGGGGCCCAAAUUCCCAGUUUACAUCUGUGCCUGAAAAGGGGUGUCUAGUGCAGACAAUGCCCCUCCUCCAUUGCCAACAUGAAGAAGCAACUGUACCCCUGAGUUUCCCACUGUCCUUGCUGUGUGACCUUAGCUCUUUAUCCCCAUUGAAAGAUGAAAUUGCCUGCCGCCCAACCUGGGGGAACGCUUUUUCAUCCCUUUCUUGGAGAAUGUCGAACGGAGAAUUGCUGUUAAGAAGAAAUCAAUAUCUUUGGAUGGAAGAGAACUUGCUGCAUUUACAACAAAUCAAUUCGGAGACCUCUUUCCAUCCCUCCCGUCUGGUACCCAGAGGAAUGAGCCUGCGGGGGGAUUGGCUGGCUGCUCUGGAUUCUGACUGCCCUGGGGAAGCGCAUCAGGCGGGACGGCUCAGCUCUGCCGGGAGCGGAGGGCUGUUGCGUGCUGUUGCGUGCUGCUGUCGGUGGGGUGAACCAUGGCUCUGAAGAUUUUGCCCAGGAUGGGGGGAGCCCUCUCUCGCCGAGGCUUCUCCGAGGCCUCAGGCGGGAGGGCAGCGUGAGGUGCUGCUGUGGACUCAGUCUUCCUCUCCGCGGAGGCGGGGAAGAGUCUUUCUGUCUCCUGGACCCCCCUCUGCAUUCCCCGCACACACAGGGGCGGCCUGGCCUGGCUCUGGGCCGCUCCCCCCCGAGAGAAGGAAGCCUGGGGAGGAGCUGCAAAGAGAAGUGUGUCUGGAAGGGAUUCCACCCGUUGCCAUCCCCGGGCUGUCCAGGCUUUGGGAACAUGGAGUGUCCUGUGAGCCUCCUGGCAUUCAUCCCCCUGUGCCCGCGCUGCUCGGCUGCCUAGUGGUCUCCUUACACAGCUCAGGCCUUGCCCUGGCCUUGUAUCUGCCUUGCCCCCCAUGACACCUUUGCUUACGCUGGGCCUUGGCCUGGAAGACCCUCCCCACCCCUGCCUCUCCAAGCCCAGCCCAUCCUCCGAGUCCCCCCCGCCCGCGCCCUCUUUAUUCAGUGCCCUGCUUCCACCCCACGUGUCG